CUAGCCACAGAUCCAGAGCUUGGGUGCCCUUCAUUCCACCGGAAUCUGUCACCGCAAAAACCGGAUUUCUGUGAAAUGAAGCCCACCAGGCAUGGAAUUCU
rnacentral:pre_miRNA from 11 species